GGACAAUACAUUUCUGGUGACAA
rnacentral:piRNA from 1 species